AUCACUCCUCAGCCUUCUGGCUAAGUUCAAGUGUAGUAUCUGUUCUUAUCAGUUUAAUAUCUAAUACAUCAUCUAUCUGACAACAAUAUAUUAAAUGAAUUUUUGGCACUAGGAAAUGGAAAAGAAGCUUACUCCAUCCGUUCCGUGUAUUGACCUGGAAAUGCAGUAUCACCAGGAAUGGUGCUCCCCAC